UAUUCCUCUUAAUGAACAUUUAUUAAUUUUUAUAAAGUUUGAGAAUUUAAUUAAAAAAAAUAUUUGUAUUCUUUUUAAAUAGCAAUUAUUAAUAUAAUUUCACCAAAUAAUCCAGAUUAGAAUAAAGAAAGUUAUAAGAAUAAAAAUAUUUUAAUAUUUAAAACUUUGAAUAGAUGGUUACUUAAGUUGCAAUUUUUACCAAAUUUUAUGAACAAAACAUUUAAUAGUGUUAAAUUACUAAUAAUCAAAAGAAAUUCUUCAACAAAACAAGUCUUUUACGUUUUCCCUUUUGCAUUUUCCUUGAUCACCGUCUCCAACUCUUCUUUCUCUAUUUAUAAUUGUUUCAUGUGUGUCUUCUGCUUUCACAUCAUUUGUUCAGGUUUUGAUACUAUCAAGAGUCUCUAUUUCUUCAACUUUCUCUAUUUAUAAUUGUUUCAUGUGUGUCUAUGUGUGUCUUCUGCUUUCACAUCAUUUGUUCAGGUUUUGACACUAUCAAGAGUCUCUCUAUUUCUUCAAUAGCAACUGUACGCAUGAAUGUCUCCUCUUCCGAUAAAUGUCAUCAUUCUACUUUUCCAUUUGUUUCGUCUCUACAACAGCAGGUAUAAAUGGAUGUUACAGUUCCUUGUUCCGGUGACCUUGUGCCGAUAGGAGGUAGAUAUUAUAUGAUGGGUUGUUAAUGCAACCCGUGGAUAUGCUUUUCUUUGAUUUUUGUUACUCGUCAGAGUUUCUGGGUUCUCUUCAGUUGCAUCCUCUGUUCUCCGCUUCUUCAAGAACGGAAUAACUACAGAAGUUGAAGAACACGCACAAAUAAAAGUAUAACCUCUCUUAUGCAAGGUAAACACUUGUGUCUCUGGGACCCUUGUGGUCAUUUUCUCCUUGCACUACCAAGGCUGCCAUAGGAAAGUCAAGAAAACAUUGUUCAACAAUUCAAUGCUGCACUCCUUCUUGAUUGAAAUUGAAAAGCUAUUCGAUGUUUCGAUAGUUGUAAUUGUUUUCUUUCCUCAAAACUCAAGAAAAGACGUUCUUGUUGAAAUUCUUGAAUGUGUAUUUUAUUUUUUUCUUUGUUCAGUUUCAU